GCAGAAGGUCAAUAAUCUGGAGAAGGUAUAAAGGGCCCAGAACGGCAGGCAGUCUCAGGGUCAGGGGAGGCAGAAGGUCAAUAAUCUGGAGAAGGUAUAAAGGGCCCAGAACGGCAGGCAGUCUCAGGGUCAGGGGAGGCAGAAGGUCAAUAAUCUGGAGAAGGUAUAAAGGGCCCAGAACGGCAGGCAGUCUCAGGGUCAGGGGAGGCAGAAGGUCAAUAAUCUGGAGAAGGUAUAAAGGGCCCAGAACGGCAGGCAGUCUCAGGGUCAGGGGAGGCAGAAGGUCAAUAAUCUGGAGAAGGUAUAAAGGGCCCAGAACGGCAGGCAGUCUCAGGGUCAGGGGAGGCAGAAGGUCAAUAAUCUGGAGAGGGUAUAAAGGGCCCAGAACGGCAGGCAGUCUCAGGGUCAGGGGAGGCAGAAGGUCAAUAAUCUGGAGAAGGUAUAAAGGGCCCAGAACGGCAGGCAGUCUCAGGGUCAGGGGAGGCAGAAGGUCAAUAAUCUGGAGAAGGUAUAAAGGGCCCAGAACGGCAGGCAGUCUCAGGGUCAGGGGAGGCAGAAGGUCAAUAAUCUGGAGAAGGUAUAAAGGGCCCAGAACGACAGGCAGUCUCGGGGUCAGGGGAGGCAGAAGGUCAAUAAUCUGGAGAAGGUAUAAAGGGCCCAGAACGGCAGGCAGUCUCAGGGUCAGGGGAGGCAGAAGGUCAAUAAUCUGGAGAAGGUAUAAAGGGCCCAGAACGACAGGCAGUCUCGGGGUCAGGGGAGGCAGAAGGUCAAUAAUCUGGAGAAGGUAUAAAGGGCCCAGAACGGCAGGCAGUCUCAGGGUCAGGGGAGGCAGAAGGUCAAUAAUCUGGAGAAGGUAUAAAGGGCCCAGAACGGCAGGCAG